UUAAAUGCUUGUAAUUGUACACUGUCGAUACUGUUGAGAUUCCUGUAGACUGUUGAUGGAUCUGAAAUGGAUAUGAAACUACUGCUGAUCUUUUUCUAGAACACAUGACCCUUAGAAAGUAUGAAGUCAGAAGACUGAUUAAAUAAUUCAUGUCAGAACGUUCCCAAUUAUUUUAUAUAGAGGUCAAAUAAAACCAUCAAUAAACAGGUGAUUUGUAAAAUGACUAACCUAAAACAUUUAUUUUUUCUCCUUUCAAUAUUUUUUACAGUGCAACAAUGAGAAAUGACAAACAAGUAUGUCUUGACCCUGAAACUAAAUGGCUACAGCAAUACUUGAAGAAUGCUAUCAACAAGUAAGGAGAAACACUUCUUGACAAGAUUAAAAACUCAAGAGGCAUUUGAGAACAUGUGUUGGAUUACAGCUCCUUUCAUCCAUGUAAUUUUUGUAUUCUUCUCUGGACUGCUUGCUGUAACAGCACUUAACCACCAUACCUGUAUGUUGAAGCAUUGAUUCUGCCACCUGAAUCGACACUGCCAAUAGAAAUAUAUAUGUGUAAAAUUAUAUGUAGAUUUCUUUUAUAACUAGGAUACAAGUGUCACACCUGUUUUCAGUUUAGCUGCUUGUUCCUUGAUGUUUGUGCUGGUGAACUUCAUUGUUUUUGGUCUAAAGAGUCAAACAACUAAUUGAAAUUAAUUUUUAAAGAAUAACUUAGACUGCCUUCCACCCUUAAUGCAUUUCUCAUAUGCUCCAGUCCAAAUAUUUGUACUCUUGAAUAUAUGGAGAAAACUGGUAACCUUAGUCUUGUAAGGUGUUCUCAGUUUUACAUUAUUGACACCUUCUCCUGGUGCAAAAA